UGUUUGAAUUUCCGACGACAAAAACACUCUUCAGUGCUCUGCUCCGGCCUGCUCCAGUCUAUUAGUUUUAGUAGUAAAACAAAGAGCAUUUUCCAGAGAGAGAGAGAGAGAGCAGUGAAUUUCCAGAGAUUCAAGCAUGGGAAAAUCAACUGCGUCAUGCUUCAAGAUCAUCGCCUGCGGCAGCGAUUCCGUCGACCAUGGAGAUCUUCAAACGCCUGAAAGCAAGCUUUCAAGUGCUCGGAGUGGGUGGAGUUUUCGGAAGAGAUCGGCUAGACAUCAAGUAUUGAGUAACACUAUUAUCUCAGAAGCACCUUCUUUCACUGAAAGCCCAGAGGCUACUGUUGCCAGCUUACCAGUGCAGCCAAACUUGUCUGUUCCAGAAAAGGCAUCUGUAAUUCAAUGGACGGAUGAAAAGCACAGGUUGUCUGCUCAAGUAGACUCAAAUCUUUCAAACGUAAUUGCUACUGAUGAAGAGGAGUGUAGUGUAGAUGCAACCCCCAAAGAGUCCAGUGCCAUCGUAAUCCAAGCUGCUAUCAGGGGAUAUCUGGCCCGAAGGAUGCUUCUGAAGCAGAAGAACGUUAUCAAACUCCAAGCUGCUAUAAGAGGUCAUUUAGUUCGAAGGCAUGCUGUUGGUACUCUUCGGUGUGUUCUAGCCAUUAUUAAAAUGCAAGCUCUUAUACGAGCACGCCAUAUCCGUCUCAAAGGGUCGGGUGACUUUGACAAGAAGAAGAAAAUUAGUGUCGUGGAUGGUCUCAAUCCAACAGUCUUGAGGAGCAAAACAGAAGCCAAGGCAAAUAGUACAAGCACCUAUAUUUCAAUUGAGAAGUUACUUGGCAAUAAAUUUGCUUCUCAGCUUAUGGAAUCUACGCCAAGGAUAAAGUCCAUCAACAUCAAAUGUGACCCUGCAAAAUCAGAUUCUGCAUGGAAAUGGCUUGAAAGAUGGACGUCAGUUUCACCAGUGAGCAACGAAGAGCAAGACAAAUCUGGGUCAGCUCCAGAACAGCAUGAGAAGGAAAGCCUUGAGUGUGAGCCGAAAGACUUAAAAUCUGUCUUGGGACCAUCAACUGAAUCAUCUGAAAUAUAUGAAAACUUGAUUACUCGUGGUGCUGACAACUUAGAUAUCCAUGCAUCAUCAGACUCUCCAUUAUCUUGUCAUCCCAAACUGCAAAACGUUGAAAAGCCAAAUCCAAGAUAUGAAAUGGCAGAACCAGGUGUUGUUGAAAUGAUGGAAACAGGUUUGAUAGAAAAUAUGGACGCCAAGCCUGUCUUAGUUAAGUACGAAACUAAUAAUCAGCAAGUCAUGCAUGAUUCAGAAGAGUUCUCCUUUGUGCAACCCGAAAUUGAGAGGAAAAGGUUUCCUCAUAAGGCAAGCAAUCCCUCUUUUAUUGCCGCCCAUUCAAAAUUCGAAGAACUAAGUUCUGCUUCUACUGGUCCACCAUUUAAGUCUGGGGAAAUUGGAUUAAAUAAUGCUUCCAUAUCCAAUGCGGUGACCAUUCAAGUUGCUGGCUCAGAAUGUGGUACUGAGCUUUCCGUUACUUCUACCCUUGAUUCACCAGAUAUGUCUGAUGGGGGAGUCUAUGAUCUUGAGUUGGAACCUAAAAUUUUGGAAGCAACUGACCCUCCUAGAAGCAGAGAGAAAUUAGAACAUGAAGCUUUUGAGAACUCUAGCAUAUUGGGAACUGAACUGUCAUAUGCCAACAUCCAUCACUUGGAGAGAAAUGAAACUGUCCACCCAUCUGCUGGUGAGCACGUUAAUUCUGUUAUUGCUUCAGAAUCACCACCCCGUGAGAAGAAGCUGGAAUCAGAUCAAAGUAACAUGCAGGAGGUGAAACCGGGAUCCGAUGCAAUCCAUAUAGUGGACAAGGCAUUACCCAAAGUGUCUCCAAGAAGCCAUGUAACUCUCCCUAAAUCUCAAGCAAUGCUUUCCAGCCAAGUUUCUCUCAGUCCCAAGAAAAGAAAUGGUGGAAAAGUUAACUCCAAUGAAAAGAAGAAAUCUUUAUCCGCUGAUACGAGUUCUGUCUCUACUCCUAACCGUGAUUCUCCCACUCAGAGUAGUUUGAAGCCGGCAGAGGAGCCUAAAUCUGGAAAGAGGCGUAAAUCCUUUGGUUCGACAAAACUUGAAUUUACAGAUCAGGAACCAAGAGAAGCUAGUAGCCAAAAUUCGCUACCAAGUUACAUGCAACCAACUAAAUCAGCACGAGCCAAAGCAUUAUCCAGUGGAUCGCUAAAAUCAAGUCCUGAUGAACAAGACAAGGAUAUCAUCCUCAAAAACAGACCCUACCAUCCUGGUAGAAACGAAAGAGAAGGAUCUCCUCGUAUUCAGCAUUCCCCAUCUCAGGCACAACAGAACGCAAAAGGAAACGACACCCACUCCCCUCAAGGCCGGAAAUGGCUGCGCUAGACAUUAAUCUUGUGGCCGUGACUGAUGAUAUUCGAGCACGUCCCAGAUGGUCAUUUUACUUUCUCGGCUGCUGUGUGGAUUUGUUGUCUUAUUUUUUUUGUCAUGAUAUGCACAAGUACUGUAUUAUUCAGAGAGAUGUAAAGUCAGCAGUCACCAGCCACGACUGGCCUUAUAUUUCUGGCUGAGAAAUUCAUGGGAGUCAACCAGGUGUUAGGGGCAGUGGACAAGCCAUCACCAGCCGUGACGGACUUUAACACGCCUCCUACAGAAAUGGCAACCAGAAGUGCUAUCCGACCCCUCUCCUUUUGCUGGGGCAGUAGCUACUAAUACUAUCAUACCAUCUUACUCGACUUAUAUUGUUUGAAUUCAAACUGUGCAUAUCAAACUAAGUAUGCAUUGUUUGAAUUUAUACUUUUGAUAAACUCAUGAUUUCUUGUACUUAGGAGUUAGACUUAAGUAUGCAUUGAAUAGGAUUUAAACUAGUAUUUAUAUAUAUUUUUGUUUAAAUUUCUAUCAA